GAUGAAGAACGCAGCGAAAUGCGAUAAGUAAUGUGAAUUGCAGAAUUCCGUGAAUCAUCGAAUCUUUGAACGCACAUUGCACCCCCUGGCAUUCCGGGGGGCAUGCCUGUCCGAGCGUCAUUUCUGCCCUCCAGCCCGGCUGGGUGUUGGGCGCUGUCCCCCCGGGGACACGCCCCAAAGGCAGUGGCGGCGCCGCGUCGGGUCCUCGAGCGUAUGGGGCUUUGUCACCCGCUCGGGACGGACUCGUCGGCGCUGGUCUUCCUCCAGGCGACCCUUCGGGGCUCGUCUUCCUUCGGUUGACCUCGGAUCAGGUAGGGUUACCCGCUGAACUUAAGCAUAUCAAUAAGCGGAGGA
rnacentral:misc_RNA from 1 species